CUACGGGGGGCUCCAGUGGGGAAUAUUGCACAAUGAGCGAAAGCUUGAUGCAGCCAUACCGCGUGUGUGAAGAAGGCCCGAGGGUUGUAAAGCACUUUCAAUUGUGAGGAAGGUUCAGUAGUUAAUACCUGCUGUUCUUGACGUUAACUUUAGAAGAAGCACCGGCUAACUCUGUGCCAGCAGCCGCGGUAAUACAGAGGGUGCAAGCGUUAUUCGGAAUUACUGGGCGUAAAGCGCGCGUAGGCGGACUAUUAAGUCAGUUGUGAAAGCCCUGGGCUCAACCUGGGAACUGCAUCUGAUACUGGUAGUCUAGAGUUUAAGAGAGGGAAGUGGAAUUCCAGGUGUAGCAGUGAAAUGCGUAGAUAUCUGGAGGAACAUCAGUGGCGAAGGCGACUUCCUGGCUUAAAACUGACGCUGAGGUGCGAAAGCGUGGGUAGCGAACGGGAUUAGAUACCCCUGUAGUC
rnacentral:rRNA from 1 species